GGGCGAUUAACUCAGUUGGUAGAGUGGCUCGUUUACACCGAGUUUGUCGGGGGUUCGAGUCCCUCAUCGCCCA
rnacentral:tRNA from 1 species